AUUAACGAUUAAAAAUAUAUGUCUAAUUAAUAGAAUUUCACUCCCGAUACUCUAAAACCAUCAAUAACUAAUUAAGACAUGACUUGGCCAAGUCUCAACCAAAUUAAUUUCAAGAUUGCAUGCCUCCUUUUUUCCUUUUCAAAGCUGCUCAUUUUUCCUCUUUAGAGAUGCUUCCUUUUUCCUUUUCAAAGCAAUUUCUUUUUUCCUCUUCAGAUAUGCUCAUUCUUCUUGUUCAGAAUUGCUCCCUUUUUCUUUUUCGGCGUUGCU
rnacentral:lncRNA from 1 species